GACGAACGCUGGCGGCGUGCUUAACACAUGCAAGUCGAACGGAAAGGCCCUGCUUGCAGGGUACUCGAGUGGCGAACGGGUGAGUAACACGUGGGUGAUCUGCCCUGCACUUCGGGAUAAGCCUGGGAAACUGGGUCUAAUACCGGAUAGGAGCCAUUUUUAGUGUGAUGGUUGGUAAGUUUUUUCGGUGUAGGAUGAGCUCGCGGCCUAUCAGCUUGUUGGUGGGGUAAUGGCCUACCAAGGCGGCGACGGGUAGCCGGCCUGAGAGGGUGGACGGCCACAUUGGGGCUGGGAUUCGGCCCAGACUCCCACGGGGGGCAAGAAGGGGGAAUAAUGCAAAAUGGGGGGAAACCUGAUUCAACGACGCCGGGUGGGGGAUGACGGCCUUCGGGUUGUAAACUCCUUUCGCUAGGGACGGAACUUUUUGUGACGGUAACUAGAAAAGAAGCACCGGCUAACUACGUG
rnacentral:rRNA from 1 species